AUUGAACGCUGGCGGCAUGCCUUACACAUGCAAGUCGAACGGUAACGGGCCUUCGGGUGCCGACGAGUGGCGAACGGGUGAGUAAUGCAUCGGGACGUACCUUUCAGUGGGGGAUAACGUAGCGAAAGUUACGCUAAUACCGCAUAUUCUGUGCGCAGGAAAGCAGGGGAUCGCAAGACCUUGCGCUGAUUGAGCGGCCGAUGUCAGAUUAGCUAGUUGGUGAGGUAAAGGCUCACCAAGGCGACGAUCUGUAGCGGGUCUGAGAGGAUGAUCCGCCACACUGGAACUGAGACACGGUCCAGACUCCUACGGGAGGCAGCAGUGGGGAAUUCUGGACAAUGGGGGCAACCCUGAUCCAGCCAUGCCGCGUGAGUGAAGAAGGCCUUCGGGUUGUAAAGCUCUUUCGGCCGGGAAGAAAUCGCACGGGUUAAUACCCUGUGCGGAUGACGGUACCGGCAUAAGAAGCACCGGCUAACUACGUGCCAGCCGCCGCGGUAACAC
rnacentral:rRNA from 1 species